AGUAUAUUUAACGGCCGCAGUAUUUUGACUGUGCUAAGGUAGCAUAAUAGUUUGUCUCUUAAUUAGAGUCUAGAAUAAAAGAUCUUAUAAGUUUUAACUUUUUUCUCCCAUAAAAUUUAACUUAAUUAUUGAGUAAAAAGGCUCAAAUAAGCAAAAAAGACGAUAAGACCCUAUAAAACUUAAUUACGUAAGGUUUAUAUAGGUAAUCUGUGUAUAACCAUUGUAAACAAGAAGUAGUUUAGUUGGGGCGACUAUAAUUAAACACUAAACAUUUUAUAACAUAAUGACUUAGACCAAAUAAAGUUAGAUCCUAAAAAGAUUAUUUGAUACAGUUACUUUAGGGAUAACAGCGUAAUUUUUUUAGAGAGCUCUUAUCGAUAAAAAA
rnacentral:rRNA from 1 species